CUUAACCACACUGCUUACUCUAAUGCGUAACCCUAACCUUAAAUUAAGACCAAAACAGCACAUUUUUGUUUUCAUGAGUUUUUACAAUAUAGUCCAUUUUGAAUUUGCAAAUUGGCCAUCUAGCGGAAAUCUCUCAUUCAUGACAAUAGAUUGACGUUGCUAGCUACUGUACUUAUUUACCUCAGCCUGCCUAGUCGACUAGCUAGCCAUCCAGCUAGCCAGACAGUUUUAUUUAGCUAACAUUAGCUAGCUAGCUAGCUACUGUAAUUGUUAUUGUAGCUUUCUGUUUGUAUGUGGCUUGCACUUCAAUGGCAUCCCUCGAGGAGAUUUUCUUGUAUCUUUCCAACCAGGCGAAGUACUAUGAAGGCACCACUGAUCUCGACAAGAGGCGCAACAUUCAGAGAAAUUCACAAUUCAGGGCAAUCAUGUACCUACAAGGGAAGGAUGGCCAGCCACACAGGAAGUUGAUUUUUUACUAAGGAGGAGAAGGAGGCUGUGCUGACCGAGAUACAUGCUGGCCAUUUCAGUGAAGCGCGCAUGAUUGCCAAAAUCAACCUACGCUUCUUCUGACUGGGAAUUGUCAAGGAGGUGGACAGCUGGGAAAGUGAAAUAACCUUUUGUCUAUCAAUCACAUUCUAUUAUAUCUGACAUUAUUAUGAUUUCAAUUAAUGUCAUAUCAGAGAGCGCACAAUGUUUCAAUUUGUCACUUGUAGCUUAAUAUUCUGUCUGUAGUUGUGUGAGAGACACACAUUUCAACCUUGAAUAUAGAUUUAAUUAUUGUCAAAUACGUUUUACCAAUGUAGAGCAGAAGGUUGUUUUGAUUGUUAUUUAAAUCAAACAUGUAUUAUUAUUUCCCACACAGAUGUGCAGUUGUUUUUUGUAGAUGGCUUCAUCUUUCCAUAUUAUCACUGAUUAACUAGUUGUGGUAACAUGUUAUAGUUAACCCCCUAGAGUUGAUUGAUGCACAAUCUAAGUUACAUAAUUAAAAAAAUGCCCAUCAAAAUA